rnacentral:rRNA from 1 species
GAUGAACGCUGGCGGCGUGCCUAAUACAUGCAAGUCGAGCGAACGGACGAGAAGCUUGCUUUUCUGAUGUUAGCGGCGGACGGGUGAGUAACACGUGGAUAACCUACCUAUAAGACUGGGAUAACUUCGGGAAACCGGAGCUAAUACCGGCUAAUAUUUUGAACCGCAUGGUUCAACAGUGAAAGACGGUCUUGCUGUCACUUAUAGAUGGAUCCGCGCUGCAUUAGCUAGCUGGUAAGGUAACGGCUUACCAAGGCAACGAUGCAUAGCCGACCUGAGAGGGUGAUCGGCCACAGUGGAGCUGAGACACGGUCCAGACUCCUACGGGAGGCAGCAGUAGGGAAUCUUCCGCAAUGGGCGAAAGCCUGACGGAGCAACUCCGCGUGAGUGAUGAAGGUCUUCGGAUCGUAAAACUCUGUUAUUAGGGGAGAACAUAUGUGUAAGUAACUGUGCACAUCUUGACGGUACCUAAUCAGAGAGGCACGGCUAACUACGGG